UUUAAACUAGGAAUAGAUACCCUAUUAUUAAGAGUUAAAUAUUGUUAGUAUAUAAUAAUUAUGAAAACAUAAAAUUAUGGCGGUAUUUUAAGCUUUUCAGAGGAAUUUGCUCUUUUAUGGAUAAAACACCAAAACCCUACUAAAAUUGGUUAAGCAGUUUGUAUACCACUAUUUAAAGUAAUAACUUGUUCUUAUUACUAAGAUUUAAUUAAAAUAAAAAAAGUUAAGUCAAGGUGCAGCAUAAGUUUUAGCAUGAAGUGAAUUACAUUACUUUAUAGUGAAGCUUUUUGAAAAAUGUUAUUAGGAUUUGAAAGUAAAAUUUUAUUAGAAAGAAAAUUUGAAUUUAGCUCUAAAAUAUGUACAUAUCGCCCGUCGCUCUUUUAUGAAGAUAAGUCGUAACAUAGUAAAAA
rnacentral:rRNA from 1 species